GAAAUGCGAUAAGUAAUGUGAAUUGCAGAAUUCAGUGAAUCAUCGAGUCUUUGAACGCACAUUGCGCCCCCUGGCAUUCCGGGGGGCAUGCCUGUCCGAGCGUCAUUGCUGCCCUUCAAGCCCGGCUUGUGUGUUGGGUCGUCGUCCCCCCCGGGGGACGGACCCGAAAGGCAGCGGCGGCACCGUGUCCGGUCCUCGAGCGUAUGGGGCUUUGUCACCCGCUCGAUUAGGACCGGCCGGGCGCCCGCCGGCGUCAAACCCCAAUCUUUCUAAGGUUGACCUCGGAUCAGGUAGGGAUACCGCUGAACUUAAGC
rnacentral:misc_RNA from 1 species